AGAGUUUGAUCAUGGCUCAGGAUGAACGCUAGCGGCAGGCUUAAUACAUGCAAGUCGUGGGGCAGCAUGACUGUAGCAAUACAGUUGAUGGCGACCGGCAAACGGGUGCGGAACACGUACACAACCUUCCUUUUAGUGGAGAAUAGCCCAGGGAAACUUGGAUUAAUACUCCGUAACAUAUAGAAGUGGCAUCACUUUUAUAUUAUAGCAGCAAUGCGCUAGAAGAUGGGUGUGCGGCUGAUUAGAUAGUUGGCGGGGUAACGGCCCACCAAGUCGACGAUCAGUAACUGGUGUGAGAGCACGACCAGUCACACGGGCACUGAGACACGGGCCCGACUCCUACGGGAGGCAGCAGUAAGGAAUAUUGGUCAAUGGACGCAAGUCUUAACCAGCCAUGCCGCGUGGAGGAUGAAGGUCCUCUGGAUUGUAAACUUCUUUUAUUUGGGAAGAAACCCAUCUUUUCUAAGAUGGCUGACGGUACCAGAUGAAUAAGCACCGGCUAACUCCGUGCCAGCAGCCGCGGUA
rnacentral:rRNA from 1 species